GCUGACAAGUCCUUAUAUUGUAGAAUUUGACUAAACUAUGCUGUAGGCCAGUUGAAGAAAGAAGACAUACAGUACAUUUAAGCUAUAAAAAGCUCAAAUCUAGAAAUAUAUGAGCAGAGAUUAGUAUAGUCAAUUCAUUUAUGACGCACAAAACCUUUUUUUUUCCUCGUUUGUGCAUUUUUUUUUCUAUGAUCUCUCUUUCCAGCAGUCUUAACCAAUUGUCAUUCCUUUUAUAUCUAG
rnacentral:misc_RNA from 1 species